ACAUGCAAGUAGAACGCUGAAGGAGGAGCUUGCUUCUCUGGAUGAGUUGCGAACGGGUGAGUAACGCGUAGGUAACCUGCCUGGUAGCGGGGGAUAACUAUUGGAAACGAUAGCUAAUACCGCAUAAUAGUAGAUGUUGCAUGACAUUUGCCUAAAAGGUGCAAUUGCAUCACUACCAGAUGGACCUGCGUUGUAUUAGCUAGUUGGUGGGGUAACGGCUCACCAAGGCGACGAUACAUAGCCGACCUGAGAGGGUGAUCGGCCACACUGGGACUGAGACACGGCCCAGACUCCGACGGGAGGCAGCAGUAGGGAAUCUUCGGCAAUGGACGGAAGUCUGACCGAGCAACGCCGCGUGAGUGAAGAAGGUUUUCGGAUCGUAAAGCUCUGUUGUAAGAGAAGAACGAGUGUGAGAGUGGAAAGUUCACACUGUGACGGUAUCUUACCAGAAAGGGACGGCUAACUACGUGCCAGCAGCCGCGGUAAUACGUAGGUCCCGAGCGUUGUCCGGAUUUAUUGGGCGUAAAGCGAGCGCAGGCGGUUAGAUAAGUCUGAAGUUAAAGGCUGUGGCUUAACCAUAGUACGCUUUGGAAACUGUUUAACUUGAGUGCAAGAGGGGAGAGUGGAAUUCCAUGUGUAGCGGUGAAAUGCGUAGAUAUAUGGAGGAACACCGGUGGCGAAAGCGGCUCUCUGGCUUGUAACUGACGCUGAGGCUCGAAAGCGUGGGGAGCAAACAGGAUUAGAUACCCUGGUAGUCCACGCCGUAAACGAUGAGUGCUAGGUGUUAGACCCUUUCCGGGGUUUAGUGCCGCAGCUAACGCAUUAAGCACUCCGCCUGGGGAGUACGACCGCAAGGUUGAAACUCAAAGGAAUUGACGGGGGCCCGCACAAG
rnacentral:rRNA from 1 species